AUUGAACGCUGGCGGCAUGCCUUACACAUGCAAGUCGAACGGCAGCACGGGUGCUUGCACCUGGUGGCGAGUGGCGAACGGGUGAGUAAUACAUCGGAACGUACCUUAUCGUGGGGGAUAACGCAGCGAAAGCUGUGCUAAUACCGCAUACGCCCUGAGGGGGAAAGCGGGGGAUCGAAAGACCUCGCGCGAUUAGAGCGGCCGAUGCCUGGUUAGCUUGUUGGCGGAGUAAAAGCGCACCAAGGCGACGAUCAGUAGCUGGUCUGAGAGGACGAUCAGCCACACUGGCAGUGAGACACGGACCAGACUCCUACGGGAGGCAGCAGUGGGUAAUUUUGAACAAGGGGGGCAACCCUGAUCCAGCAAUGCCGCGUGAGUGAAGAAGGCCUUCGGGUUGUAAAGCUCUUUUGUCAGGGAAGAAACACCGGCUCUAACACAGUCCGGGAAUGACGGUACCUGAAGAAUAAGCACCGGCUAACUACGUGCCAGCCGCCGCCGUAA
rnacentral:rRNA from 1 species